CCAAUCCCAGUGUGCCUUCGAACAACACUCACAGAGGUCCUGUGAGACUCUGUCUUUAACCUCUAUUUCAGUAAUGGUGAUGUUGACGGCAACGUUCUUGGGCUCGGAGAAGAAGUCGUCCCUGAGUCNAACACGACUCAUGACGAAGCAGAGGUGUUGAGCGGCGGCGUUCGGUGGUGGAAAGGUGAGGCCGCCAUCAUCGUUGAUGGAGGAGAGGGACUGGUCCGAUGGUCGAAGGUAGGCUUUGCGACUUUGAGCAUGGAAGCAGUUCAGAUCGCGAUUCGCAACGGCAGGANGCGGUGGUUGUUGGCGGAGGGCGGCGAAGAAGUUGCGUGAGGGAAAACUAUGGUUGUGUGAUAGGCGGUUGACGGCGUCGCAGUGGUUGCCGGAAUGGCGUUCGGUGGAGGAAGACGCCCUUCUCGCUCUUGGGAGAGGAAACUGAGCUGGGUUGGGUGUUUGGUUCGAAUGGAGGGCCUCCUCAGGGUUUGGGGGGAAGUGAAAAAAACCCUAGGAGUUUUCUGAAUGGUGGGGUGGGCCUGGGUUUUGAUUUAAUUUGUUUGUAAUUUUUUUGUGUUGUUUUGACUAUUCCGUUUGCACCCCUAUUUCCCUUUUCACCACACCCAAAUCCCCUUUGGGGCUUCAGCCCAUUCGACCUAUAAAAUUUCCCUUCUGCGCCCCCAUGUUUGCUAGGUCAUACUCCAUUUCUAUUGGGCUUAGGUCCAAUCUGUUGCUAAAAUCUAAAAUUAGUUUGCAGCUUCCAUUUCCUAUGCACACCCAAUUUAUACUUGGGCUUAAGUCCAGUAUGUCAUGAUAAUUAAAUUGGGUUUGAACACCCUUUCUCUUAUUUAAGCACAUCCACACCCCUUCCUUUUAUCUAUUAGUUUACUUUUAUCUUUUACUUUUUAUUUUAUUCUCAUUUUUUAUUUAUCUAUCUUUUAUUUUUCUUUUUCUUUCUUUUUCUUUUGCCUCCAUUUUAAAAAUUUAUAUACCUUUUUCAAUAUACCUUUACAAAAUUAAAAAUGUAUUUUAAAGGGUUCUAGCACAUGUGUGAUCGCACGCAUCGUCCUUGUG
rnacentral:lncRNA from 1 species